rnacentral:rRNA from 1 species
CCCGCUGAACUUAAGCAUAUCAAUAAGCGGAGGAAAAGAAACUAACAAGGAUUCCCCUAGUAACUGCGAGUGAAGCGGGAAGAGCUCAAAUUUAAAAUCUGGCGUGCCUCUGGUCGCCCGAGUUGUAGUCUGGAGAAGUGUUUUCCGUGUUGGACCGUGUACAAGUCCCUUGGAACAGGGCGUCAUAGAGGGUGAGAAUCCCGUCUUUGACACGGACUGCCAUGUGCGAUAUGGUGCGCUCUCGAAGAGUCGAGUUGUUUGGGAAUGCAGCUCAAAACGGGUGGUAAAUGCCAUCUAAAGCUAAAUAUUGGCGAGAGACCGAUAGCGAACAAGUACCGUGAGGGAAAGAUGAAAAGAACUUUGGAAAGAGAGUUAAACAGUACGUGAAAUUGCUGAAAGGGAAACGCUUGAAGUCAGUCGCGUCGGCUGGAAAUCAGUCUUGCUUCUGCUUGACGUACUUUCUGGUUCGACGGGUCAGCAUCAGUUUUGACCGCCGGAUAAAGUCGUUGGGAAUGUGGCAUCUUCAUGAUGUGUUAUAGCCCGUCGUCGCAUACGGUGGUCGGGAUUGAGGAACUCAGCACGCCGCAAGGCCGGGUCGUUUCGACCACGUUCGUGCUUAGGAUGCUGGCAUAAUGGCUUUAAUCGACCCGUCUUGAAACACGG